UACGUAGGGGCCGAGCGGGGCCCGGAGUUAUUGGGCGUAAAGCGCGCGCAGGCGGCCUCGCGCGCCCGACGUGAAAGCCCCCGGCUUAACCGGGGAGGGUCGUUGGGGACGGCGGGGCUUGAGGGCGGGAGAGGGUGGUGGAAUUCCCGGUGUAGUGGUGAAAUGCGUAGAGAUCGGGAGGAACACCCGGGGCGAAGGCGGCCACCUGGGCCGACCCUGACGCUGAGGCGCGAAGGCGUGGGGAGCGAACGGG
rnacentral:rRNA from 1 species